rnacentral:rRNA from 1 species
UACGGGGGGGGCAAGCGGUUGUUCGGAAUUACUGGGCGUAAAGGGCUCGUAGGCGGCCAACUAAGUCAGACGUGAAAUCCCUCGGCUUAACCGGGGAACUGCGUCUGAUACUGGAUGGCUUGAGUUUGGGAGAGGGAUGCGGAAUUCCAGGUGUAGCGGUGAAAUGCGUAGAUAUCUGGAGGAACACCGGUGGCGAAGGCGGCGAUCCUGGACCACAACUGGACGCUGAGGCGCGAAAGCGUGGGGAGCGAACAGG